rnacentral:tRNA from 1 species
GUUUUAAAAGCUUUUAGAAGCACUGGUCUUGUAAACCAAAGAAGGGCUAACCCUUAAAACU